AGUGAACGCUGGCGGUAGGCCUAACACAUGCAAGUCGAACGGCAGCACAGUAAGAGCUUGCUCUUACGGGUGGCGAGUGGCGGACGGGUGAGGAAUAUAUCGGAAUCUACUUUUUCGUGGGGGUUAACGUAGGGAAACUUACGCUAAUACCGCAUACGACCUACGGGUGAAAGCAGGGGAACUUCGGACCUUGCGCGAUUGAAUGAGCCGAUGUCGGGUUAGCUAGUUGGCGGGGUAAAGGCCCACCCAGGCGACGAUCCGUAGCUGGUCUGAGAGGAGGGUAGGCCACAUUGGAACUGAGACACGGUCCAUGCUCCUACGGGAGGCAGCAGUGGGGAAUAUUAGACAAUGGGCGGAAGCCUGGUCCAGCCAUACCGCGUGGGUGAAGAAGGCCUUCGGGUUGUAAAGCCCUUUUGUUGGGAAAGAAAAGCAGCAGGUUAAUACCCCGCUGUUCUGACGGUACCCAAAGAAUAAGCACCGGCUAACUUCGUG
rnacentral:rRNA from 1 species